rnacentral:rRNA from 1 species
GACAGAGGCCUCAAGCGUUAGGCGGAAUCACUGGGCGUAAAGGGCGCGUAGGCGGCCCUGGUACGUCUGCGGUGAAAGCCCGGGGCUCAACCCCGGGUCGGCCGCGGGUACUGCCGGGCUGGAGUGCCGUAGGGGCAGGCGGAAUUCCGGGUGUAGCGGUGAAAUGUGUAGAGAUCGGGAGGAACACCGGUGGCGAAGGCGGGUCUCUGGGCAAUUCCUGACGCUGAGGCGCGAAAGCGUGGGGAGCAAACAGG